UUUGAACUAGUUAAUCGUGUCAAUAUGUUUUGGAGACUUUAUUCGUUUGUACCAUUGUUCGUAUAUUUUCGUUCACACUCGGAGUUGUUUUGAUCAUUGAUAUCUUGUAAUAAUUGGGUAUGUUUGUAUUUGAUAAUUCAAUUUCAUUUGAAUAUGGUCAUGUAAGCCUUGUGAUUUGAACCCCUUUUGGCUUACAUUUUGUAGUUUGAUCCUUAGGGUAUACUUGAGCUAACCACCUGUGGGGGUACCGCAGGCAUGUCCUCUUG
rnacentral:lncRNA from 1 species